rnacentral:lncRNA from 1 species
GGUAGUGAAGCAGCUGGUUCCACAGAAGGAAAGGGAGCAGGACUGAGUACCGAUUUUGGCUUUGGGAGAACAAGGCAUUCGGAAGCAAGAAGCCAUGUUGCUCUCAGAUAAACAGUCCAGCAAUGGAUGCUUCCGAGGCAGCAGAGCCUCAUGGCAAGCAUCCAAACAGACCUGGGUUUGGGAUCUGGCUCUGACACUCAGUCCCUCCAGGCAGCACGCCUCGGUGUCUGCUAUCUUCAGUCUCCUCAUCGAUACAAUGGGGAUAAAGAAAAUGCACGGACAUAGUGUCAAUGAAUGAGAAAGGACACAGUGAACUCAGACCUGGCUGAAGAGUGCAGUCAUGGGUUCUGCUGGGGAAGCAGCAUCACAACACAUCACAACAGCUCAUUGCUCUAGAGUCAGACUGCCUGGCCUCCAAUCCUGUAUCCAUUCCCGACAGUCGGUGUGACCUGAAACUCUCCAAGCUUAAUUUCCUUAACAAUUCCCACCCCCCAACCUCAGAGUUGACAUGAAGAUCUGAGACCAUGGACACGAAGCCAUGAGCAUAGUGCCUGGCACACAGUAAUAACUCAACACAGGCCAAGACUUUGUAAGCUGCGUGGCAUAAGCAGCAAUUGAAGGAGUCGUCACUCCCUCUCUCCAAGUUUCUUCAGGUUCAGGUAAUAGAGACUUUUGCCUUCUCAGGAAAAAUAUUAAGAAGCUGCUGUCUGUCCUUUGCUUCCCACUGCUCUUCCCCCACAGGAAUAAGAUUGAUUUCUCUAAUUAGAGAGAUGACAAAGGUCUGACAUGUCUGAGUCCUUGUUUCUCCACUAGGCAGGGUUAAUGUAUUACCAGGCUCUGCUCACACACAUUUAUUCGUUUUGUGUCUCCCGCCCUGCUCCCUCCAUCUGGCCCUCUCUCCCUCUUUCUCGCUGCCUUUCUCCCCUUAAAAGGGCUAUCUGGAGUUCAUGUGUGUCCUCCUUUCUGUUCCUUCCUCCUCUGGGUGAUAAGCCACUGGCAGGCCCUGGCUCUGCAGAGGGAGGCCUACAGCUACAGUUGACAAAUUAUUUUGCCUGUGGCCAAAUGAAUGAGAUCAACUGGGAGAAAGGAGGCUGUUAAAUGAGAAGCUCAUUUUGGACUUGAAUCAAGACUGCAUUCUCCAGUUCAGCCUUACUAGUAAUAAGAUUGAUAGUUUGAUGCCUGUUUGACUUGGUGUUUCUCAGCUCUUUCAGAAGCCGGUGGGGAGAGAGAAAUGAUGAAUUGUACUCUUUAAGCUCUACAGUAAUUGAUGCCAGCCACAAUGUCAAAAAAUGAGAUGAUCUUGGGAAACAUAUACAGGAAUAAGGAAACCUAGAACUGAGUCUUAUCUUUUCAAUGGCUUGACUAAAAAAUACUUGCCAGGAAUGAGCAGAGAGAAAAGUGGGAGCAGAUUAAGAGAGGGUCAUGUUACAAAAUCCAGGAGAAGAGAGGGCCUUCAUGAGGAGGGAGUGAUGGACAAUGCAGCAACUGGCUACGAUGAGUGUUAACUUUCUUCUGUUACCUGAUUGUCAGGGAGGGCAUUAAUGGCCUUAGAAAAAACUCCUUUGUAGCAGUAAGGGAGUAGAAGCUAACCUCCUGUGGGUUGGAAGAUGAGUAGAAGGUGAAGAAAGGAGAGAGGACAAACACAUAGACAACUUUCCAAGAAUACCGGCUAUGAAGAGACAGAGAAAGACUGGGGGGCCACUUACCACUCCAGACCCCAACCCAGAUCUGUCUCAAGCAGACCCCACACCUCCAUUUCACAGCUGGACUGGAAAAGCCGAGCUCUAUGAAUGUAACCCUCCAACACUCUCUGUUAAUCAUCGGUUCAUAGGAGCGAUGCUCAUGGGCGUUUUUUUUUCUUUCUGAACUGUGUUGAAACACAAUCUCUUACAUAAAUGGACAUCCCAAUUCAAUUGAUUCAUUUGACCACGAGGUUCAUCCCAAUGAACCCUCUACCAGAAAAUAUGAAUUGGGCUGUUGUAUCUUCCUGGCAAGAAUCAUCCAUUUAUUUUCAGGGAUAUUAUAGUGCCUCGUAUAUUUCCUGUUACAGUAGGUGUCACAAGGUAUAGUAACUAUUUCUGCACCUCUCCAUAACCAUCCCCAGCUGGUAAACUUGUCCUUGUCUCACACAGUAGGAACUCAAUAGUGAUUGUAAAAUAGCUGAGAAACGGGCAGCAUCCUUCCCCGGCUUGUGGUGAAAUGUUGACAAAAUUGGAUUUCUGUGUUGGACACAGUUCAGAAGAUACUAAGGAGACAUGAUGACUAAAUGCAAUAUGGUAUCCUGGAUGGGAUCCUGGAAUGAAAGAACAUUCGUGGGAAAACUAGUGAAUGCCCUCAGCACACCCAGCCUAAGGCACGAAACCCUAUUUCCUUGUACCCCAGGUUCUUGUUUUUUAGAGAAAGUUGAAAGAUAUGUAAACCUUUCCUCCGAAGCAGCUCAGCAUGAGGACAUGGGAAGAUGAAAGGAUAUCCUGGACAUUCUUGUGUAUCCUCAUCAACAAAUUAACCUUCCUAGAAAAAAAAAAUUAAGAAAAAGGAGUCAUCCUUAGUCUUUCGGUCUAGUUUUCCUUCACAUGGGUUUGUUUAAAUGUAGGAGGAGUUCUGCCUGCAGAAUGGAUAAGGAACUUGGUAAUAACUUAUUUCACUUAGUUCCAUCUUUAGUAUUUUGUCCUCAUGGUUGAAGACUUCUUUGGAGAGCAUAUUUGACAAUCAUAUGACAGUGAAGAUUGAAUGAAAUACCUCUAGAUUUGUCUUUUUCUUAUAAAGCAAUAUGGAUCUCCCAUACCCUUAUGCAAAUGAAAGUUGCCCAGGAAACUAUCUGUAUCUACAAAAGAAGAGAUGAUAGUGACGUCUGCAGCAAGGAGCACACAAGUCAACCAGAGAAGAAGUCAGGAUCAGGAUACAUCUUUAGGUGCUGUUAAAAAGUCGUAAAAUGAUCUGUGAAAUUCUGAGUCUGAAUGUGGGAUUAUAUUCAAAAGCGAGUUGAAAUAGCUUGCCCUAGCAAAACAAUGACAACAAUGGCAACAGCAACAACGUUUACUACUUGCUAACCACUUACUAUGUGCUGGGCACUGUGCAAAGCACAGCGUGUUCCAUCAUUCCAUCCUCACAACCCUGUUGGAUGGUCCUACUCUUAUCCUCAUUUCACAGGCAAAGACGUACAGGAUUAAAAACGUUGAGCAACUUUCCCAAGGCCAUUACUGCACUAGGAAUAGACAUAGCCAGG